UACAGAGGGUGCAAGCGUUGUUCGGAAUUAUUGGGCGUAAAGGGCGCGUAGGCGGUGCUGUAAGUCUGUGGUGAAAUCUCUGGGCUCAACUCAGAGUCUGCCAUAGAAACUGCAGUGCUGGAGUGUGGGAGAGGUGAGUGGGAAUUCCCCGGUGUAGCGGUGAAAUGCGUAGAUAUCGGGAGGAACACCUGUGGCGAAAGCGGCUCACUGGACCACAACUGACGCUGAGGCGCGAAAGCUAGGGGAGCAA
rnacentral:rRNA from 1 species